GGGGGAUUAGCUCAGUCGGAAGAGCGCCUGACUGUUAAUCAGGAGGUCAUUGGUUCAAGCCCAGUAUUCCCAGCCA
rnacentral:tRNA from 1 species